UACGUAGGGUGCGAGCGUUGUCCGGAAUUAUUGGGCGUAAAGGGCUCGUAGGCGGUUUGUUGCGUCGGGAGUGAAAACUCAGGGCUUAACCCUGAGCCUGCUUCCGAUACGGGCAGACUAGAGGUAUGCAGGGGAGAACGGAAUUCCUGGUGUAGCGGUGAAAUGCGCAGAUAUCAGGAGGAACACCGGUGGCGAAGGCGGUUCUCUGGGCCGAUACUGACGCUGAGGAGCGAAAGCGUGGGGAGCGAACAGG
rnacentral:rRNA from 1 species